GCUCCUAUAGUAGAAUGGAUAGCACGCUUGGUUUACACCCAAGAGAAGGUGGUUCAAUUCCAUCUAGGAGCA
rnacentral:tRNA from 1 species